rnacentral:lncRNA from 10 species
GAAGAAGUCACUAAUGACCAAAGGAAAAUCUGGAGGCGCAUCACAGGGCUCACAACAUCUUCAUCACAACUUUAUGAGGAUAACACUUUUAUUUUUCCUAUUUUGCAGAUGAGAAAACUGAGGCACAGAGAGGUGAAAUAAGGCCCCCAGAAUGCUCUUCUCCAAGACUUAGAAAAAUCAAAUGCUAUCCAUCCCUCAAGAUACAUCCCUCCAGCCCCUCCUUGAAGUCUCCUGCAGCUAGAAGUAGAAGUAGCAUCUAUCCCCAUCUGGACUCCUUAGCACUUUGCUGUACCUGCCUUAGUCCCCAUCUCUUUACACACACACACACACACACACACACACACACAGAGUAUUAUAAUACUAUUACCUAUUAUAUUACAUUAUAUUAUUGUAGUUCUACAGGAACUACAAGGAAUUCUACUGUGAAUUCCUUAAGGGUGGGAUACAUUUUACAAUCAUCACUGUUUCUCUCAUUAGUUGUGGAAUCAAAAAAAUGAGUGCACGAUGAAAAAUUAUUCAAACACAUACAUGCUUUCAUUCCAAUUGAAAAUGUAAAAAUAUUACUGUUAAAACAAUAUUAAAGGACAUGUAAUACAAUUCAAAUAUUCCUACCAUGCACGAUUGUUUUCACUUCUUUGUGCCUCUUUCACCAUUUAUUUGUGUGCAUACUCAGCAUAUUUGUUUGUGUAACAGGAUGUUAAAAAUAGAAUUUGUUGCCUGUAGUUUUUGCUAAAGCUCUACUAGACUGGAACAGAACAAUAGGUGGUAAAUACUCCAUUCCUCAGUGAGAUGCUACCUACCUAUGCAGAGCUGGAAAAGAUUUUGCAACCUGAAAACCCAAUCCUUUCUGAGAUAUAAAAGAACAGAAGAGUCUGGAAGUGAUUUCUUCGGAGAAAUUCAUUUUCUUAUUCCAGAGAAGAAACUUCAAGCUCAGAAUAUUGGCUACUACCUGUGAUAAACAUUUAAAUUAUUGGAACGAGAGAGUUUUUAUAACUAAAUUUGAAAGAAGCAAUUUUUUUUAUCAAAGACCAACCCGAAGAUUCAUGACCACUACCUGUGAUUUCAUCCAUGUUGCAAGGAAAAUCCUGCCCCACUUCCCCAAUAGGAAGAGUGGUGGGGGAAUAAUAAAGUUGUUUUAUGAUGCAUCCUGUGGACUUCUACUCGACAGAAUGGUAACAUUCAACUGUAAUCAGGAUGAGCAAGCCACUUUAUUAAACUAAAAUUUUAAACUUUAAUAAAUAUAAUACAAACUGAAAAAUAAAAAUAAUUUUUCAACUCUACACAAGUAUGUUAACUGCAUAAACAGUGAGAUGUUACACAGGGCUGAGGCCUAUACUUCUUCAGUUUGUACAUUAAACGUCUCCAUGGAGGGUCAAUUGCAUCCUACCUAUUCUGACAGUUAUCAGGUAGCGAGAGAUUUGAGGAAGAGGCGCUUUUCUAAUCUGGGGUAGGAAAAGGAAUGAUACCAUGUAUCAUGAGAAGUAUUUGCACAUAGUGUGUCAAUUAAGCAAGUGCUCAGACUAUUAACAACAUUACUAUGUGAUGAAUGUUUAUACAGUGGAUUCAAAAAUAAGCUUCUUUCCAGAAAGCAGCUUAGUUUUCAUUAAUUAUUACCAGCAUCUUGGUAAUUAUUUAUUUAAUGGUUUAAAAGUUAAAGUUUCAAUCUAUAUUUGUUUUUUUAACAUCAGCCAAGGAAAUACAUGUCUGUUAUACUGCAUCUUUGGAAGUAUGCAAUAAGUGUAACUAUUGAAUCUAUAUUGAAGAGCCACAAGACACUGAAUUUAAUUGGACGAGACUAUUUUAUUUAGGAAGACAAUCAUCUCCUGUGAUCAGCUUAAGGUUUUUGUUUUGUUUUAUCUGGAACAAGCUAAGUUCAUAUUUAGAAAAUAAAGUUAGUUUUUUGGGUGCAUGAGUUUUAGAGUAAAUUAGUAAUUUAGUAAACUUUGACAUUUCCACUUUGUCUCCAAACACAUUUAAAUUCUAUCUGUCUGACUGAAGUUCUAAGGCAUUCUGUGGUUACUUAGAAAUGAUUCCUUAUAUUAAUGUUUACAAAUGCUAAAUUGUAUUUGUUAAAUACAUGUCUUAUUGCCUAAGAGUUUUCCUUUCUUAUAAGUUUAAUAUAAAUGUCUAGGAAAUAAGACUCCCAUUUAAUAGCUUAUAAAGAAUGCUGAUGUAUCAGCAGUGGCCUUGACAUUAUUGGAUACAAGUAAGAUCUACACUGAUGAUUAAAUCAAAUUGGCUAAGAUUAUUCGUUCUAAUAAAAGCACUGACUCCAUGAAGUUUUCUUGUGGCUGAAAUUAACAUUCGUGUUCCUACAAGCUCUUUAAAAUCUUAGUUACUGAAAAUUAUUCCUUUUGACCUAAUUUUUUCUUUACUUUGGAUGUAUUUGACAAGGUAGAGGUUAGGGAUUGGAGAGUAUGUAAAGAAUGAAAUAAAAUGUAGUCACUUUUAACUAUAUCCACAUAUAUCCACAGGGAGAUGGGGGUUAACACUGAUAAUUAUUCUCAACAUUCUUCUGGGUUUGGAGUUAAUUGAGAAAUACACAUAGCGGUCAGAAACAUAGGGAUCAAAAUAUCAGCAUAGUUUUCCAUAAAGCUGAAUGUGCCUUGGACCUGCAACUCAAACCAAGCUUCUAAGUACCUGUACCCAUGUCUAGAUUUGGAGUUUCUCAUCGGGGUAUUACAGUUGCAAAGGGUGUCACUCGCUGCCUUCCAUCCUUGGAUUCUGAAUAGUAAAAGAGGAAAAGAGGA